UACACGACCGUACCGCAAACCGACACUGGUGCGCGAGAUGAGUAUUCUAAGGCGCUUGAGAGAACUCAGGAGAAGGAACUCGGCAAAUUGACACCGUAACUUCGGAAGAAGGUGUGCCUUUAGUAGGUGAACCAUUUACUUGGGGAGCCCAAUGAGGCUGCAAAAAAUCGGUGGCUGCAACUGUUUAUUAAAAACACAGCACUCUGCUAAGACGAAAGUCGACGUAUAGGGUGUGACGCCUGCCCGGUGCUGGAAGAUUAAAUGAUGGGGUGCAAGCUCUUGAUUGAAGUCCCAGUAAACGGCGGCCGUAACAAUAACGGUCCUAAGGUAGCGAAAUUCCUUGUCGGGUAAGUUCCGACCUGCACGAAUGGCGUAAUGAUGGCCACACUGUCUCCUCCUGAGACUCAGCGAAGUUGAAAUGUUUGUGAUGAUGCAAUCUCCCCGCGGAAAGACGGAAAGACCCCAUGAACCUUUACUGUAGCUUUGUAUUGGACUUUGAACAGAUCUGUGUAGGAUAGGUGGGAGGCUUUGAAGUGUGGUCGCUAGAUCGCAUGGAGCCAACGUUAAAAUACCACCCUGGUGUGUUUGAGGUUCUAACCUAGGUCCAUUAUCUGGAUCGGGGACAGUGCAUGGUAGGCAGUUUGACUGGGGCGGUCUCCUCCCAAAGUGUAACGGAGGAGUUCGAAGGUACGCUAGGUACGGUCGGACAUCAUGCUAAUAGUGCAAUGGCAUAAGCGUGCUUAACUGCGAGACUGACAAGUCGAGCAGAUGCGAAAGCAGGACAUAGUGAUCCGGUGGUUCUGUAUGGAAGGGCCAUGGCUCAACGGAUAAAAGGUACUCUGGGGAUAACAGGCUGAUACCGCCCAAGAGUUCAUAUCGACGGCGGUGUUUGGCACCUCGAUGUCGGCUCAUCUCAUCCUGGGGCUGUAGCCGGUCCCAAGGGUAUGGCUGUUCGCCAUUUAAAGAGGUACGUGAGCUGGGUUUAAAACGUCGUGAGACAGUUUGGUCCCUAUCUUCCGUGGGCGCUGCAGAUUUGAGGAAGCCUGCUCCUAGUACGAGAGGACCGGAGUGGACGAACCUCUGGUGUAUCGGUUGUCACGCCAGUGGCAUUGCCGAGUAGCUAAGUUCGGAAGAGAUAACCGCUGAAAGCAUCUAAGCGGGAAACUCGUUUCAAGAUUAGAUCUGCCGGGGCCUUGAGCCCCCUAAAGAGUCGUUCAAGACCAGGACGUUGAUAGGUCAGGUGUGGAAGCGAAAAAAAU
rnacentral:rRNA from 1 species